rnacentral:misc_RNA from 1 species
UGGUUCUGGCAUCGAUGAAGAACGCAGCGAAAUGCGAUAAGUAAUGCGAAUUGCAGAAUUCCGUGAGUCAUCGAAUCUUUGAACGCACAUUGCGCCCUUUGGCAUUCCGAAGGGCAUGCCUGUUCGAGCGUCAUUAUCAACCCUCAAGCCUGGCUUGGUGUUGGACCCUGGGCGGUGUCGAGCCGCCCGGUCCCAAAGACAACGACGGCGCCUGUGGGUCCCCCGGUACAAUGAGCUUUCACGAGCACGUACCGCAGCGGACCCGGAGGCCCGGUCCCCUUCUCUUUCUCAGGUUGACCUCGGAUCAGGUAGGGAUACCCGCUGA